ACGCACGCUGGCGGCGUGCUUAACACCUGCAAGUCGAACGGAAAGGCCCUGCUUUUGUGGGGUGCUCGAGUGGCGAACGGGUGAGUAACACGUGAGUAACCUGCCCUUGACUUUGGGAUAACUUCAGGAAACUGGGGCUAAUACCGGAUAGGAGCUCCUGCUGCAUGGUGGGGGUUGGAAAGUUUCGGCGGUUGGGGAUGGACUCGCGGCUUAUCAGCUUGUUGGUGGGGUAGUGGCUUACCAAGGCUUUGACGGGUAGCCGGCCUGAGAGGGUGACCGGCCACAUUGGGACUGAGAUACGGCCCAGACUCCUACGGGAGGCAGCAGUGGGGAAUAUUGCACAAUGGGCGGAAGCCGGAUGCAGCAACGCCGCGUGCGGGAUGACGGCCUUCGGGUUGUAAACCGCUUUCGCCUGUGACGAAGCGUGAGUGACGGUAAUGGGUAAAGAAGCACCGGCUAACUACGUG
rnacentral:rRNA from 1 species